UAAAUCUGCAGGAUUCCAUCCCUGCCACCCCAGCCAUGGGCCCUGAGUGAUGGCCUCUGACACACCCUGGGUGGGUCAGGUAUUCUCAUGCCUUUCCUGGAGCUUCAGAGUCUACUGCUUCUUGCCUCUGGGUCCUGGCACUGGAAUGAUACAGACCUCAGGGUCCCAGGGGUGAUUUGUCUUCCUGGCCAUAUGGAAGACGUUUUGCACUGGAAGAGAGCGAGAUGAACACGCAGAAAGAAGUAGAGCUGAAGAGAGACUACAGAAAAGGGAAAGCAGGAAAGGAAAAUAGCAGGAGAUAAGGAUGGAGGCAGAGACAUGCCCCAGGAUGCUGUCUGAGUCCCUGGAUGCCAAACCCACUUCUGAUCAUCCCAGGGCUAUGUUACCUAGGGUGCUGAAGGAGCCCACUGGCCCAAGAGGACACCCUUUUCAGUUAGAUCCGAGACUUGUCAGCUGCCAGAAGUCACCCUCUGACUGCAAAGAAGUGAAUGAAUUUUCAAUAUCUUUCUAAGGUUCCCUGGGUGGCUGAUCUUGGAACCGUGCUCUUCUCCAGGGUGGUGUGACCAGCAGCCAACCUCUCUGCAGCCUACAGGGGCUCGUUAUCCCGUCUGUAGGUUACUCAGAUCUUCCAGGUUUUGGAGUCCUCUGGCUCUUCGUCUUCCUCAGCUCACUGCUGCUCAUUAGUGCCUCCUAGAGGAUGAGCAGGGGAAUCACAGAACCCAGCUCAGAAGUCGCUGCCUCUGGCAUGGGCAUCAGGGGCUCCGCUACGCCUGAGACUAGCUCCUGGCUGGACCGUGAAGGACUCAGAGGUGAUUUCCGAUUUCCGCUGUCUUUCCCCUUCAGGGAGCUUUUUGGUUAUUUACACACCAAGACAUUAAAAGAUAAAUGGAGCAAGAAUAAAAUCACAAGAAAGAUAUCACUGGUAUUACUUUACAGAAAAUCAAUUUACUAUUAAAUAUAUGUGAAUUUAAUUAACUAUAGAAUAUAAUUAAAUAUAUGCUGAUUUAAAUAGCUAUGCAAUUAAAUUAUAUUAGCAGAGAUCUUUUUAAAAAAUCAUAGCCUUAGCAAGUUCUCUUUAAAACGAAUUGCAUAUUCACCUGAUGCUGGUGAGCAUGGAAUCAGGAUGAAUGAUGAGGCAUACGGACGACAAUUCGCAAAUAUACAUCAAAAGUGUAUAUAAAAAAGUGUUCCUAGUUUUUGACUCAGUAAUUCCACUCAAGGAACAUCUUAGACCCAAAGGUGCUUCACAGCAUCAGUGAUAACAGGGAAUAUUAUACAUGGUCCAGCUGGUCUAGCUGGAAAAUGGUUAAUUGCAUUUUGGUAGAUCGACUCAAUGAAAUACUAUGUAACUAUGAAAAUUAUGUUAACAAUAAGUAUUUAAUUGUAUACAAUGCUAAUUGUAUCAAAAGGUUGGGAUGUAAAACUAAUAAUUGUAACUAAAAAAAUACAUCUAUUCUUGGAAAUAGAUUUAGAAAACAUACUAAAAUAUUAAUAGUAAUUUUAGAUACUGGGUCUAUUGAUGCUAUUUUAAAAAGGCUUUUUUUCCUAUUUUUUACUAUAUUCUGUAUUAUUUUUAUAAUGGGAAAAUAAAUAAAUGAUAAAGUUCAACCAAAUGCCUAAAAUGAACCUAGCACCUGUACUGGGAAUUGGUGAU
rnacentral:lncRNA from 1 species